rnacentral:lncRNA from 12 species
AUGGACACGAGUGAAGAUGAGCUCUUCAUCAGUAUUCCCAUGCCACAGGAUUCCUGUCUGAAGUCAUGUGACCCCAUUCCUCAGAGCAGUGGAAUGGAUCUGGCCUCCUGGAACCAGGAGAAACUGGAUAAAGACACACAAGAUCUCUUCAGUGAUUCGCUGGUGAAGAUUGAAAGUCAGCCUACAAAGAGAAAACUGCCUGAUUGGGCUGAAGGACCAAGCACUUCAGUACCUACUACGACUGAGAAGAAAACCAAAAAGAAGAAAGGACUUUUCAUUUGAUACUUAUUAGGCUGUGUAGUGUACGUUUUGAUAUUUUGUACAAGAUUUAAAAUAAUUAAUUUUUGUUGAUGGUCCUGAAUACUGACAUGACCUAAUUCUACGAGAAUGUCUUGUUAUUUUUCUGUAAGGCUCCUGUUGUCAGCAGCUUUUGGUCUGCCGCCAGCUUGCACUCCUCUAGGUAUUUUUCUGAUUUCUUACCGGCUCAGACACUAGUUAGGGAAUCUUUCUCGAUUUGCACAGAUCAUGUUUCUGCUUCCGUGAGUGGCCUGGAGCUGUACACUACUGACCUCCACCUGUCGUAAUGGAAACACUCCUCCCAGAAUCCCGUGCAACUCCCAGACCUCAAAAGUAGGAUCAUUUCUGAAGCGUGGUGGGACUUUCAGUAAAAAUGUGAAAUAAUUGACCCGAGAUUAUCUGAUUUUGAUAGUUCAGAAUGUUUAUUGCCAAGGAGGAAAUUCUUUAAUUUGUAAAAAAAAAAAAAAAGCAUCUGUAGUUAAUACAGUAUUGAUGGAGUGUCAGUUGAAUGUUUGUGUUCACAGUGACGCAGUGAUUUUUGUUUGCUAUAUGUUUAUAUUACUUAUUCUUGCUGUAACUGAAGCAGCACAUUCACAGAGCAGUAUUUGUGCGCCGGUCCUGUAAAAGUUAAUUUACAAGCCAGGAGUAAGCACAGGCUUUUAUAGUCCAUUCCACUUCUGUUUUCUGCCACAGUGCUAAAUACCCACAUAACAACGGAGCCUUAAAGCAUGCCACAUUUCUGUCCCUUACACCAUUCUCUGUCAUCGUCACCUUCCCCAAAACCUGUUAGUUUGGCUUUGGCAGGAAUUUGUGUCUUCUCCUGAGCACUUACUUUCUGAGUCUACCUCUGUCCAGCUUUAGUUGUGCCACAAUGAAGCACAACUGACUAAUUUUGAGUCUGUAGCCCUUUCUAUCCAGUGUAAAUCAUUGUUUUGUAUACAAAUGUAACAAUAAUAAUCAAAUAAUUAAAGGUUUGUAACUACCCGCAUCUGAGUGCCGUGAGUCAUGAUCCAACACCGAUCUGAAGGAUUUAACCCUCUGGGGUCUGAGGGGUCUUGGGGGCCUGGAGAAGUUUUGACAUCCCCUGACUUUUGUGCUUUUUUCAGUUGCUUAUAAAUAGAUACAUGGCUAAAGUCUAAUAACACUGUAAUCUGUACAAACUGGGCUACAAUAUGUAAAUAGCAUGUAUUUACAUGAUUGUGUUUUUGAAAAAACGUUUAUGUGUGGUAAGUAAAAAACUACAAUUUUGAAGUCACUGAAAUAAGGUCAUAAAACACCUAGAGAACAUUUGUUCACAAGACUGUCAAACCUGGAGCUUGAAGCCUAGAAAUUUUGCUUCAAAUGAUGUGAAAAUCAUCUUGUUUACUCACUCACAGAAAACAAUAGAUUAAUUUAAAUUUUCUAAGACACUUUUUGUUUCAAAAGGCCAUAUGUGAGUAGGCGUCAACUGUCAUGAAUAUUUGUGUGAUUCACACCUGAGAAGACAAAGACUCACAUAAUGAGCUGCGUAAUGAUCCUUUCAGUCAGGUGUGUCACUGAGAGGGAUGAGUUACAAGAAAUAAUGUGAGGACAAAAUAAAUGUAUAUAUUUUUAUGAUUGUAGUUUAUUUAAAAUAUAUUUAAUUAUCCCACAAAAUAACUUGAGAUUCACUUGCGAGUGCAGUUAAACGGUUUAUUAGGAACAAUCAAAGCUGAAUUUUUAGCAUCAUUACUCCAGUCACAUGAUCCUUCAGAAAUCAUUCUAAUAUUCUGAUUUGCUACUCAAAAANNNNNNNNNNNNNNNNNNNNNNNNNNNNNNNNNNNNNNNNNNNNNNNNNNNNNNNNNNNNNNNNNNNNNNNNNNNNNNNNNNNNNNNNNNNNNNNNNNNNNNNNNNNNNNNNNNNNNNNNNNNNNNNNNNNNNNNNNNNNNNNNNNNNNNNNNNNNNNNNNNNNNNCCUGUUUAUUUUUUAUUUUUUGCAUAUUUCUCACACUUACAUAUACAAUUUAAUCUGCCCAAAAACUCCAAAACUUUAACAUUUCGAGUUUGACAAAUACUAUAAGUUUUCUUGUUACUAAUAAUAAAUAUUAUGCAGAACUUUUAAUAUUUAAUUUUUUUUAAAUGUAUUAUUAAAAUGGUCUUCUAACACUAACAUUCUCUAUUCUUUUUCCAUUCUUCUGACUUUUUUACUUAAAAAAGACCUUCUUUCUUUUGUUACCUGUUCUUUUUUUCUAAUCUAUGUACUUCUUUUUAAUUAUUAUAAAUAAAUUAAAAAAAUACCUUGUGUACUGCAUUAGGCUAACUGCGACUUGUUACACGUACAUAUUAUUGCUCUUUUGUUGGUUUUGAUUGCUUCUGUUGUCCUCAUUUGUAAAUUGCUUUGGAUAAAAGUGUCUGCUAAAUCACUAAAUGUACAGGUAAAUGUAAUAUGGAUUUCUUCGGUUCUAAACCGCUCAUUGCAUCAUAUAAUCAACAAGAACCAUCAAUGUAUGAAUCGAAUUCACUUGGACUGCUGACAGUUUCUGUAACGUACAUCAUUUUAAUAUAUCCAUAUAUGCUUUUAGAGACAAAUCACGCAAAACUUCUCUGUCCUGUCGUGUCUGCACUCGAGACGGGUGACGUUUGAGCUCCACUUACAUAGUCCUCACUCCUAUUGCUUGUUGCUCCCCGACAACAGUGGCUGUUUAUUUAAAUAAAUUUAACAUUUCUGAAAGGUUUCUGAAGUCGCUGGACAUGCCUACAUCCUGUCACCAACAUUUGCAAAGAUAAGACCCUCAACAAAUUUGUUCGUUAGCGUCAAUCAUUAAGCUAUGCAAUAUUGUAGAACUUGCAGCUUGUAAUACAUAUAACUACUGCUUUAUUGUACUUAUGUAAUCUUGCUUGGUGAAGUGGAUGUGUGCGUUCCAGUUUGAAGUACUGUUGUUAACAGGGAUAGAGAGCCAGAAAGGCCUCCAAGAGACCAAACAGGCAAAUUCACCCUGCCCAACCAUCUUCUGCUUAGGCAUAUUAUAGGCUAGAAGUGCCUGUAAAAAUUUAAAAAAGUAUAGUUCCUAACUAGUUACUAGCACUAAUUGGUGCUCAAAGCAAUGUCAUGCCUGUUGAAAUAGUUUCCUUUGAUUUUACUUUAUUUUAGAGGCAAGGCUAUUCCUGCUCAGUAUUAGGCUGACCAAAUAUCAUGAUGUUGGCUACCAAUUUACCACGCAAAAUCUUAUGUGCAGUUACAUGGCCUUUUACCAUUAUACAUGUUCUUUUAGUUCUGUGUCUAAUCUUUGUGAUUGUAAUUAUUUGUGUCAUGUUAAAUUGUACACAAGGUGGGUGCAGAUGAAUGUACAGUAUGUGCAGUGCAUUUAAAGUUUUGACAUCAAGUCUGUAUAAUUCAGCAUUUUUGGGAACCACAGGGCCACUUGGAGUUCACAGCAGGGAAUCUUGGAUCAGACGAGCUUGGCCACAUCCAAAUACGUGUUCCAGCUGAAUACAGAGGAGUCGGGGGCUAGUUGUUAAGCAAAGAAACUGUCUCAAGGUUUUGUAUAUCAGUAACUGUAAGGUUUUGAGUCAAGUGUCCAGUUACACAAAUAGCUGUUUUCUCUUUCACAUUCAUCAUUUUUCUAAAAUUCAACAACAUCAUAAUUUUUGUAAUGUCUGUUAAAAAGUAAACAGUAAAAUACUGACAACAUUUUGACAAGAGUUGCCAUAAAAUAUAUAUAUAUAUAUACAGUACAGACCAAAAGUUUGGAAACAUUACUAUUUUUAAUGUUUUUGAAAGAAGUUUCUUCUGCUCAUCAAGCCUGCAUUUAUUUGAUCAAAAAUACAGAAAAAAGUAAUAUUAUGAUAUAUUAUUACAAUUUAAAAUAAUUGUUUUUAAAUUUAUUAUACUUUAAAUUAUCAUUUAUUUCUGUGAUGCAAAGCUGAAUUUUUAGGAUCAUUAUCACAUGAUCCUUUAGAAAUCAUUCUAAUAUGAUGAUUCAUUAUCAAAGUUGGAAACAGUUCUGCUGCUUAAUAUUUUUUCAGAACAUGUGAUACUUUUU